GAUGAACGCUGGCGGCGUGCCUAAUACAUGCAAGUCGAGCGAAGCGGGGACGGGGGAGUAACACGUGGGUAACAUCCUAUAAGACGGGGAUAAAUUCGGGAAACCGGAGCUAAAACGGAUAAUUAUAGCUGGAUCCGGUCGGCAUUAGGUAGUUGGUAAGGUAACGGCUUACCAAGGCAACGAUGCAUAGCCGACCUGAGAGGAUGAUCGGCCACACUGGAACUGAGACACGGUCCAGACUCCUACGGGAGGCAGCAGUGGGGAAUCUUCCGCAAUGGGCGAAAGCCUGACGCAGCCACGCCGCGUGAGUGAUGAAGGUCUUCGGAUCGUAAAACACUGUUAUUAGGGAAGCGGUACCUGAUCAGAAAGCAACGGCUAACUACGUGCCAGCAGCCGCGGUAAUAC
rnacentral:rRNA from 1 species